CAAUAGCGUAUAUUAAAGUUGUUGCAGUUAAAAAGCUCGUAGUUGGAUUUCUGGUCGGAAGCUCCUGUCCUCUGAUGAGCGUACAAGUGCGUCCUACCAUCCUUCUGUUAACCUUUAAGGCUUUCGCGGCUUUCUAGGGGCUCAGAUAUUUUACCUUGAGAAAAUUAGAGUGUUUCAGGCAGGCUAGCGCCGGAAUACAUUAGCAUGGAAUAAUGGAAUAGGACUUUUGCCUCUUCUGUUGGUCAUGAGGCUCGAGUAAUGAUUAAUAGGGAUAGUUGGGGGCAUUAGUACUUAACUGUCAGAGGUGAAAUUCUCGGAUUUGUUAAAGACUAACUUAUGCGGAAGCAUUUGCCAAGGAUGUUUUCAUUAA
rnacentral:rRNA from 1 species